rnacentral:rRNA from 1 species
GUCUACAUUAGAUACCCCUGUAGUCCCAGCCGUAAACUAUGCGCGUUAGGUGUAUCGGUGACCACGAGUUACCGAGGUGCCGAAGGGAAACCGUGAAACGUGCCGCCUGGGAAGUACGGUCGCAAGGCUGAAACUUAAAGGAAUUGGCGGGGGAGCACCACAACAGGUGGAGCCUGCGGUUUAAUUGGACUCAACGCCGGGAAGCUCACCGGAUAGGACAGCAGAAUGAUUGCCGGGCUGAAGACCCUGCAUGACUAGCUG